rnacentral:tRNA from 1 species
GGGCAUGUGGUUUAGUGGUAUAACGUUUGCUUAGCAUUCGUGAUUUGCGAAAGGUCCGGCGUUCAAUUCGCUGCUUGUCCA